ACCUGGAUGGCUCAGUUGGUUAAGCAUCUGACUUCAGCUCAGGUCAUGAUCUCACAGCUUGUGAGUUCAAGCCCCAUGUCGGGUU
rnacentral:tRNA from 1 species